GUGCACAGCGAUUGAAUGACUUGGGUGACGAGUCUAGAUUGCUUCCACUUUGGAGACAGGCAGAGCCUCGAUUCUUAUGGAACAAUUAUAUGUUAGAAGUGCUCAUAGAUAACAAGUGUGCAAUCCUGUGCUUUUCAGCUUGAACCAUACUUGCUCCCUGUAGUCCAAGGCAGCUUUCAUCACUAUCAAGCAGCCAUUGGGAAAGAUAUUAUUGAU